rnacentral:sRNA from 1 species
CGGUCAGGUGAUGAGAAUAAAUACAAAUCUUACUACGCAUCGGAGCUGGAUGAUAUUUCUACAAGUGAUGCAACUGAAGUUG